rnacentral:rRNA from 1 species
AUUGAACGCUGGCGGCAGGCCUAACACAUGCAAGUCGAACGGUAACAGGAAGCAGCUUGCUGCUUUGCUGACGAGUGGCGGACGGGUGAGUAAUGUCUGGGAAGCUGCCCGAUGGAGGGGGAUAACUACUGGAAACGGUAGCUAAUACCGCAUAACGUCGCAAGACCAAAGAGGGGGACCUUAGGGCCUCUUGCCAUCGGAUGUGCCCAGAUGGGAUUAGCUAGUAGGUGGGGUAACGGCUCACCUAGGCGACGAUCCCUAGCUGGUCUGAGAGGAUGACCAGCCACACUGGAACUGAGACACGGUCCAGACUCCUACGGGAGGCAGCAGUGGGGAAUAUUGCACAAUGGGCGCAAGCCUGAUGCAGCCAUGCCGCGUGUAUGAAGAAGGCCUUCGGGUUGUAAAGUACUUUCAGCGGGGAGGAAGGGAGUAAAGUUAAUACCUUUGCUCAUUGACGUUACCCGCAGAAGAAGCACCGGCUAACUCCGUG